rnacentral:rRNA from 1 species
GACGAACGCUGGCGGCGUGCUUAACACAUGCAAGUCGAACGGAAAGGCCCCUUUGGGGGUACUCGAGUGGCGAACGGGUGAGUAACACGUGAGUAACCUCCCCUUGACUUCGGGAUACCUUCCGGAAACUGGGGCUAAUCCCGAUUAGGAAUCCUUGCUGCAUGGUGGGGGUUGGAAAGCUUCGGCGGUUUUGGCUGGACUUGCGGGCUAUCAGCUUGUUGGUGGGGUAGUGGCUUACCAAGGUUUUGCCGGGUAGGCGGCCUGAGAGUGCGACCGGCCACAUUGGGACUGAGAGACGGCCCAGACGCCGACGGGAGGCAGCUGGGGGGAAGAUUGAACAAGGGGCGGAAGCCGGAUGCAGCAAGGCUGCGGGCGGGAUGACGGUCUUCGGGUUGGAAAACGCUUUCAGCAGGGGCGAAGCGUGUGGUGACGGUACCUGCAGAAGAAGCACCGGCUAACUACGUG